rnacentral:rRNA from 1 species
GUGAGGAAUUUUCCGCAAUGGGCGAAAGCCUGACGGAGCAAUGCCGCGUGAAGGAUGAAGGCCUAUGGGUUGUAAACUUCUUUUCUCAGAAAAGAAUUAUGACGGUAUCUGAGGAAUAAGCAUCGGCUAACUCUGUGCCAGCAGCCGCGGUAAGACAGAGGAUGCAAGCGUUAUCCGGAAUGAUUGUGCGUAAAGCGUCUGUAGGUUGUUUAAAAAGUAUUCUGUCAAAGAUUAGGGCUUAACCCUAGAUAGGCAGAAUAAACUUUUAAGCUAGAGUUUGGUAGAGGCAGAGGGAAUUCCCGGUGGAGCGGUGAAAUGCGUAGAUAUCGGGAGGAACACCAAAGGCGAAGGCACUCUGCUGGGCCAAUACUAACACUGAGAGACGAAAGCGAGGGGAGCAAAUGGGAUUAGAUACCCCAGUAGUCC